rnacentral:tRNA from 1 species
UCCUUCGUGGUGUAGUGGUCAGCACGCUCGGCGCGUAUUCGAGAGGUCCGUGGUUCGAGUCCCGGUGAGGGCG